CAAUAGCGUAUAUUUAAGUUGUUGCAGUUAAAAAGCUCGUAGUCGGAUUUUGGCUGAGAACGAUCGGUCCGCCGUUAGGUGUGCACUGAUUGGUCUCAGCUUCCUGGUGAGGAGGUGUGCUUCACGGCCACUUAGUCACCGUGGUUACCUUGAAAAAAUUAGAGUGUUCAAAGCGGGCUUACGCUUGAAUAUAUUAGCAUGGAAUAACACCAUAGGACUCCUGUCCUAUUUCGUUGGUCUCGGGACGGGAGUAAUGAUUAAGAGGAACAGUUGGGGGCAUUCGUAUUUCAUUGUCAGAGGUGAAAUUCUUGGAUUUAUGAAAGACGAACUUCUGCGAAAGCAUUUGCCAAGGAUGUUUUCAUUGA
rnacentral:rRNA from 1 species